rnacentral:snoRNA from 1 species
CUGCAGACUGUUAUCCCUUUUUAGCCUGCCGUGACUCUAGAGGGAGUCUGUCUGCUAAAUUAUUUCUAAGAGUUCAGGUCAGCUGUCUGCAGUGUGCAUGGCAGGUCCUUGAGUUCUUUGGACAUUUUG